GAUGAAGAACGCAGCGAAAUGCGAUAAGUAAUGUGAAUUGCAGAAUUCAGUGAAUCAUCGAAUCUUUGAACGCACCUUGCGCUCCUUGGUAUUCCUUGGAGCAUGCCUGUUUGAGUAUCAUGAGCAAAUCUCAAAGUCGAUCCUUUUGUUAAUUCAAUUGGUUUGCUUUGGACUUGGAGGCCUUGCAGAUUUCACCGUCUGCUCCUCUUAAAUGCAUUAGCUGGAUCUCAGUAUUAUGCUUGGUUCCACUCGGCGUGAUAAGUAUCACUCGCUGAGGACACUGUAAAAGGUGGCCAGGAAAAUACUGAUCGAACCGCUUCUAACGGUCUAUUAACUUAGACAAUUGCCCUUAAGUUUGAUCUCAAAUCAGGUAGGACUACCCGCUGAACUUAAGCAUAUCAAUAAGCGGAGGA
rnacentral:misc_RNA from 1 species